GCAUGUCUAAGUAUAAGCAAUUAUACCGUGAAACUGCGAAUGGCUCAUUAAAUCAGUUAUCGUUUAUUUGAUAGUACCUUACUACUUGGAUAACCGUGGUAAUUCUAGAGCUAAUACAUGCUGAAAACCCUGACUUCGGAAAGGGUGUAUUUAUUAGAUAAAAAACCAAUGCCCUUUGGGCUCUUGGUGAUUCAUAAUAACUUAACGGAUCGCAUGGCCUUGCGCCGGCGACGGUUCAUUCAAAUUUCUGCCCUAUCAACUUUCGAUGGUAAGGUAUUGGCUUACCAUGGUUUCAACGGGUAACGGGGAAUUAGGGUUCGAUUCCGGAGAGGGAGCCUGAGAAACGGCUACCACAUCCAAGGAAGGCAGCAGGCGCGCAAAUUACCCAAUCCCGACACGGGGAGGUAGUGACAAUAAAUACUGAUACAGGGCUCUUUUGGGUCUUGUAAUCGGAAUGAGUACAAUUUAAACCUCUUAACGAGGAACAAUUGGAGGGCAAGUCUGGUGCCAGCAGCCGCGGUAAUUCCAGCUCCAAUAGCGUAUAUUAAAGUUGUUGCAGUUAAAAAGCUCGUAGUUGAACCUUGGGCCUGGCUGGCCGGUCCGCCUCACCGCGUGUACUGGUCUGGCCGGGCCUUUCCUUCUGGAGAACCUCAUGCCCUUCAGUGGGUGUGUUGGGGAACCAGGACUUUUACUUUGAAAAAAUUAGAGUGUUCAAAGCAGGCCUUUGCUCGAAUACGUUAGCAUGGAAUAAUAGAAUAGGACGUGCGGUCCUAUUUUGUUGGUUUCUAGGACCGCCGUAAUGAUUAAUAGGGAUAGUCGGGGGCAUCAGUAUUCAAUUGUCAGAGGUGAAAUUCUUGGAUUUAUUGAAGACUAACUACUGCGAAAGCAUUUGCCAAGGAUGUUUUCAUUAAUCAGUGAACGAAAGUUAGGGGAUCGAAGACGAUCAGAUACCGUCGUAGUCUUAACCGUAAACUAUGCCGACUAGGGAUCGGGCGAUGUUUUCUAUCUUGACACGCUCGGCACCUUACGAGAAAUCAAAGUUUUUGGGUUCUGGGGGGAGUAUGGUCGCAAGGCUGAAACUUAAAG
rnacentral:rRNA from 1 species